rfam:Peptoclostridium acidaminophilum DSM 3953 plasmid EAL2_808p, complete sequence.
AGAAAAGUUAUGACGGAGACAAAAAUGCCUCGGCAAGACUAUAGAGAGCUAAUGGUUGGUGGAAAUUAGCGUCAUGCGGCAUACAAUAAUCACUCCUGAGCUUCCAUUUCGAAAUAUAGUAGAUUUGGACGUACGCCAGCGUUAUAUGGCUAGGGUUAAUUUGACCUGAACGGCGAGGCGGAUUUUUAAUCCGCAAAGUAGGGUGGUACCGCGAAGCAUAAGCUUUCGUCCCUAUG